rnacentral:rRNA from 1 species
UACGGAGGUGGCAAGCGUUGGUCGGAAUUACUGGGCGUAAAGGGCGCGUAGGCGGCUAGGCAAGGCAGAUGUGAAAGCCCCGGGCUUAACUCGGGAAUUGCAUCUGAAACUGCUGGGCUUGAGUUCUGGAGGGGGUAGUGGAAUUCCCAGUGUAGCGGUGAAAUGCGCAGAUAUCAGGAGGAACACCGAUGGCGAAGGCAGUGGUCUGGGCCGAUACUGACGCUGAGGAGCGAAAGCGUGGGGAGCGAACAGG